rnacentral:ncRNA from 1 species
CUUAUUGAUAUUGUUUCUAGCCAAUUAAUUACAUAAUGCUGGUAGGAUCCAACCUUGAGGGUUCCUAUUUCUGCGUAUAAAAGGGUUCUUGAAACCUAACAUAGCAUUACCCCUACUUUUGGCUCAAGGCUUGUCCUGAAUGAACUGAUCUGGGCGGAAGACAUUGUAAGGUGGGGAGUUUCACUGCGGCCGCACAUUUAUUAAAAGAUAAUUGCAGUGUCCUAAGAUGAGCAAAACAAAGAACUGCAAUCUCGUUUUGAACAAAAAGAUAAACGUUCAUUUGAUUCUAAUUUCUAAUAUGAAUUGCAUGGCCUAUCAAUCUUUUAUAUAUUCGGGCUUCAAAGCUAGAGGUUUCACAAAAAAGUUACCACAAGAAUACUAACAAUAUUGCUUUUUAUUACUCCAAUGCCGGCUCUUCUUUAGGGGUGGCAAUGGGAUGUGUUGGGUCGGGUCCGGAUCCAUGAAGUCAUCAUACCCGGACCGAACCUUAAGGGUGCCAAUGGGAUGUGUUGGGUUGGGUCCGGAUCCGCGAAGUCAUCGUACCCGGACCGGACCGAACCUUAAGGGUGGCAAUGGGAUGUGUUAGGUCUAACCGUCGGGUCCCAGGUUAGAUACGGGUCCAUUGCUACCCCUGUUCUUCCUGUCGUUGUGAAGCAACUUUCGGCAAGUAGUAGAUUUUUUUCACCCACAAAAUACAGAAAAUGAGCUAGGUUUAGACUGGCGUGAGACAUGUUGGUU